rnacentral:rRNA from 1 species
AGAACGAACGCUGGCGGCAUGCCUAAUACAUGCAAGUCGAACGAACACUUCGGUGUUAGUGGCGCACGGGUGCGUAACGCGUGGGAAUCUGCCCUUGGGUUCGGAAUAACAGUCGGAAACGACUGCUAAUACCGGAUGAUAUCGAAAGAUCAAAGAUUUAUCGCCCAGGGAUGAGCCCGCGUAGGAUUAGCUAGUUGGUGAGGUAAAGGCUCACCAAGGCGACGAUCCUUAGCUGGUCUGAGAGGAUGAUCAGCCACACUGGGACUGAGACACGGCCCAGACUCCUACGGGAGGCAGCAGUAGGGAAUAUGGACAAUGGGCGCAAGCCUGAUCCAGCAAUGCCGCGUGAGUGAUGAAGGCCUUAGGGUUGUAAAGCUCUUUUACCCGAGAUGAUAAUGACAGUAUCGGAGAAUGAGCCCCGGCUAACUCCGUGCCAGCAGCCGC